UACGUAGGUGGCAAGCGUUGUCCGGAUUUAUUGGGUUUAAAGGGUGCGUAGGCGGUUUAAUAAGUCAGUGGUGAAAUACGGCAGCUCAACUGUCGAGGUGCCAUUGAUACUGGUGGACUUGAGUACAGACGAGGUAGGCGGAAUUGACGGUGUAGCGGUGAAAUGCUUAGAUAUCGUCAAGAGCACCGAUAGCGAAGGCAGCUUACUAGGCUGUAACUGACGCUGAGGCACGAAAGUGUGGGGAUCAAACAGG
rnacentral:rRNA from 1 species